AUUGAACGCUGGCGGCAUGCCUUACACAUGCAAGUCGAACGGUAACGCGGGGCAACCUGGCGACGAGUGGCGAACGGGUGAGUAAUAUAUCGGAACGUGCCCAGUUGUGGGGGAUAACUGCUCGAAAGAGCAGCUAAUACCGCAUACGACCUGAGGGUGAAAGCGGGGGAUCGCAAGACCUCGCGCAAUUGGAGCGGCCGAUAUCAGAUUAGGUAGUUGGUGGGGUAAAGGCCUACCAAGCCGACGAUCUGUAGCUGGUCUGAGAGGACGACCAGCCACACUGGAACUGAGACACGGCCCAGACUCCUACGGGAGGCAGCAGUGGGGAAUUUUGGACAAUGGGGGCAACCCUGAUCCAGCCAUGCCGCGUGCGGGAAGAAGGCCUUCGGGUUGUAAACCGCUUUUGUCAGGGAAGAAAUCCUUUGGGUUAAUACCUCGGAGGGAUGACGGUACCUGAAGAAUAAGCACCGGCUAACUACGUGCCAGCCGCCGCGGUAACAC
rnacentral:rRNA from 1 species